UGAGACUGGAAGUGAUUCUAGGCUUGCAUAAUGAAUUCCAUCUCAAAAAAAUGAUGUGCUAUUCCCAUUUGUUUUGUGGAGCAGAUAAAUCACACCUUAAUAACCUCCAGUUAAGAGACUUUUUGGCGGCUAAAUGCAUUAUUUGUCAAUUUCUCUGCUCCGUGCUUCAUGUUUCCCUUUGUUGGUGGGGAGAGGGGUUUAAAGAGGACCAGAUCUGUCAGAUUUUCCAUAUCAAAUUCCUUGAUUAUUGAAUUUCCGAAUUUUAUGGAGGUUUCUUUUUUGGCAGCUCCUAGCUAUUAAGCAAUUGGAUAGGAAUGGGCUUCAGGUAACAGAGAAUUUUUGGUAGUCUAUAUAUACUAACUGCUGAAUAUCAGCUUUACAUCAACUCUAUAUAUCUGUGGCAAAUCCAAGUAAUUUAUUCUUCCUGCUUCUGCUCUCAAUUGCGAGCAUGAACAUGCAUCAGUCGAUUAUGUUUGCAUUUUUUCUGUUGCUCUUGUUUUGUUUUUCAAAUAAAUUGCCAUUCCCUUUUUUCUGAUCAUCAUUCCAUUCAUUUUUGUUGUAAUCUCAUAAUGUAUUUGUAAUACACAAUUAACUCUUUAUACAUGCAUAUGUAUAUAUCUCUAUAUGUAAUAUCUAUAUUGAUUUUCCAGCUCAAUCAAUGCCUAGUAAUUGCACUGAGUUUCAGUUUAGCAAUUUUUCCUCCAGUUAUGGAAAUGGAAUUGAGAGCUUGCAUUUGGGUUUGACAAUCAACCAAACAACACUUAAGUUGUGAGAAAAAUAGGUAAUAUCUUUCAUUUUAGCAUUUGAAUGCAUAAAUAAAUGUAGGAUUUUUUUAUAUAUGAGAUAAAGUCAAUGAUUAAGUACAUUUG
rnacentral:lncRNA from 1 species